rnacentral:tRNA from 1 species
GUCCUCGUAGCUCAGUUGGAUAGAGCAUACGCCUUCUAAGCGUACGGUCGGGAGUUCGAGCCUCUCCGAGGACGCCA